rnacentral:tRNA from 1 species
GGGCACAUGGUGUAGUUGGUUAUCACAUCCGCUUAGCACGAAUUGCGUGGUAUGCGGGGGGUGCUGGGUUCAAUUCCCAGUGUGUCCA